rnacentral:rRNA from 1 species
UACGUAGGGUGCAAGCGUUGUCCGGAAUUAUUGGGCUUAAAGGGCGCGUAGGCGGGCUGCCAAGUCUGGGGUGAAAUCCCACGGCUGAACCGUGGAACUGCCUCGGAUACUGGCGGCCUCGAGGGAGGUAGGGGCGUGCGGAACUGUGGGUGGAGCGGUGAAAUGCGUUGAUAUCCACAGGAACUCCGGUGGCGAAAGCGGCGCGCUGGACCUCUUCUGACGCUGAGGCGCGAAAGCUAGGGGAGCAAACGGG